CUGGUUAUGAAUCAUCCGUAGCUUAAACAUUCAAGUGGAGAGUUCACACAAGAUGAUUGAUGUUGUCGGUAUACUAUAAGAACAAUACUACUAUCAGGGGGGUGGAAACCCAAAUAAGGAAGAAACGGAUUAACCUCCAACAGGCAUCUAAACUCUUCAAAAGCUUGAAAUGUUUUGGAGUGGUUGCUCGACAACUAAGGGAUUGGGAUGACACCGAUGAAUCAGAAGGGGAAGACGAUGAUGGCAAUCCGGUUAGCCCACAACCAUUGAAGAUUCAGGACCCUAUUUGCUCGCAGAACAGUAAUCCAACCGACACAGAGGAAAGAGAGCAGUUCCUAGUUCCCGCUCCUACCCCGCCAGACAAAAACAGACGUCGCUACAGGCAAUUCUGAUACUGUUCUUUUAAACCUUUUGUUGUUUAUUAAUGUAAAGGAGUAGUAUUCCUCCCUUUAUGCUUUCCUGUUUUAU